CGACUCUCGGCAACGGAUAUCUCGGGUCUCGCAUCGAUGAAGAAUGUAGCGAAAUUCGAUACUUGAUGUGAAUUGCAGAUACCUGUGAACCAUCGAGUCUUUGAACGCAAGUUGCGCCCGAAGCCCUCUUGGCCAGGGCACGUUUGUCUGGGCAUCACGUA
rnacentral:rRNA from 1 species